UGGAGAAAGCUAUGCUGGUCAUUACGCUCCUCAACUAGCUGAACUCAUGCUUGAAUUCAACAAGAAGCAGAAUUUGUUCAAUUUGAAAGGAAUUGCUAUAGGAAAUCCAGUUCUGGAGUUUGCCACGGACUUCAAUUCGAGGGCUGAGUUCUUCUGGUCUCAUGGAUUGAUAUCAGACACAACCUAUAAAAUGUUCACUUCAGUUUGUAACUACUCACGCUAUGUGAGUGAAUACUACAGAGGUUCAGUUUCUCCUAUUUGCUCAAGGGUGAUGGGUCAAGUGAGUAGAGAAACAAGUAGAUUUGUGGACAAGUAUGAUGUUACUCUUGAUGUCUGUAUAUCAUCACUGCUCUCACAGUCCAAGGCCCUUAGCCCCCAGGUGAGUAGAAUCUAUCAUUUGAUAAACUCUUCUUUCGGUUGCAACAACUUUGCCUUCAUUUUUCACUUGGUAUCAUUGGCAGCCAUCCAGUUGCUAAUUGUUAGACUGGUUUUUUCCUGCCUUUUUUGGUCCUACAGCAAGUCGCUGACAAUAUAGAUGUAUGUGUAGAAGAUGAAACAGUUAAUUAUCUCAACAGGCUGGAUGCGCAGAUGGCUCUCCACGCACUCCUUGUAGGUGUCCAACGAUGGACUGUUUGCAGCAAGUAAUUCUUCUUCACAGAAAUCAUAUUUGCAAUGCUUCGCUAUUUCCAGGGCAGUUGUCAAGUUACUGCCUAUCUGAGAACUUGCAAUUGGGAGGAAGAUAUGGGAUAAACUAUUUCUGUUAUCCUUUUCCAUUUUGUUAGUUGUGCUGUUUGAUAAUUUUCUUCUCACUAUGUUGAUCACAGCGUCCUAGGUUAUGAGCUGCUGGAUUUGGAGAUACCAACGAUUCCUAUUGUGGGGAGGCUGAUCAAAGCAGGAAUCCCAGUCUUGGUAUACAGUGGAGAUCAAGAUUCUGUCAUCCCCUUGACUGGAAGUCGAACCUUAAUCCAUCAACUGGCCGAGGAAUUGGGACUGAAAACCUCCGUGCCUUACAGAGUUUGGUUUGAGGGGCAGCAGGUUGGUGGAUGGACUCAAGUAUACGGCAAUAUCCUGUCCUUUGCCACUAUCAGAGGAGCAUCCCAUGAAGCUCCAUUUUCUCAGCCUGAGAGAUCUUUAGUGCUGUUCAAGGCAUUUUUGGAAGGGCGGCCUCUACCAGAAGCGUUUUGAUCUGAUCAAAUGAUGCAGUUCUUGGAUGGAAUUACUAAUUCAAUUGUAAGUAAAGUUGGAUUGCUACUGCAAAAAGGCACUUGUUUGUUUGUUUUGUUACUUGGAUUUGUCCAUGCUAUGAAAUGUAAAAAAAAUUUGUAAAGAUUUUGAGUAGAGGAAAAAAUGUAUUUUAUUGCGAGUUUUAAACCCUUUUUUUUCCCUGUGCUACGAAUAAACCAAUGAAUCUUGGAAAAAUAACAAAAUAAAAGAAGUGCUUAGAAUCAACAAAUGGAUGCAAUUUGGGCUUUUGUGAAAUUUUUAUUGCACUACGGCUCAUUGAGGAAAAAAAAGAUUAAGGGUGUUUGGAGUGGAGGCAAUAUUGCAUGUGCUUAGUCAAGAAACCCCCAAGGAAGUUCUGCAGGAACUUUUAGAGCAGUGGGAAACUGCAAUUGGGGCUUCAACCUGCAUUUUCAGACAACUGAACUGCAAAGCUAAUAUGGGUUUUGAUAACAUCACAGAAAUGCUUAGGCUCUGUCCAUAAUCUAGGAGUUCUCCAUUAAUAGCAUCUCCAGAUUUGCAUUUGUGGUGGCCCAAAGAUUCUUCUGUGUCAUGCUUUGAUGCUGGAAAUAGUCUAGAUACCUUCGCUGGCUGCACAGAUCGCACCCUGUGACAGUUUAUUAGGAAGCAUAUUCAAUAAUCAUUUCAACUGCUCAGUAACACUAGAUUCUACCAUAAUUCAUUUGAAGUGAUUGUUUUUUGAAAUUACUCAAGAGCUUUGCAGUCAACAUGCUUAAUGAAUGUGUGUGACAUUAUACUCUGGGAUCUUUCACUCAUCAAGUGAAAUAAAAAUAUGCCAAUGAAGCCUUUGUAGGUUUGGGUUGUAUUUCAUAUGGUUUAAUUGAUUGUAUGUUUACUUUUGCAUUUGUAAAUGUAUUUUGGCUUUGACCAGUAUCAGUUGUAAUUAAUAUGAUUAUGAUAUAUCUAUAAUCCUAUCUCUAAUAUGCCUUUGGUUAUGCUAUUGCCUAGUAGCAUUUUUGUCAUAUAUUAUCUGAUUGCUAUUGCCCGCAGUUGUAUACCCAAAUAGAAUGAGGACAGAGGACAUAUUAAAAACAUUAAAUGUGACAUGCAACAGCCCCUUUGCAUCAAAGAAGAAUAUUUUUAGGACCAAAGUCUCUAAAGAAAGUAUCUUUUCACGUAAGACUAUAAUCAGAAAAGAAAAGAUACCUGCACUCAAUAUUGCAGGAAUACUUCAGAAGGCUGGGAUUAUGCUCCGUACGUCCACUAAAACUUGGUAGUGACAUUUUGAUUGCUGGCCCCAUCCACUUGUCAUGUGUCAGCACAGUAACUUACAUCACCCAAAAAAAUAAGGGAAUAAAGAAUAUGCAAUAAGGAAACCAAUGAAGACCUUUAAAGACGAAGUGCUGCAUUUACAGAACUGUGCAGCAAAAAUUUCUGAUGAGAAAUUUGUUGCCUAAGGAAGGGUGGUGGUUAAUUCCCUAGAUAAAUAACUAUCUGGCUAUAUCCCUUAACAAUUUUCUUAAAUCUCCAGAUAUGGCAGAAGCUGCAUCUACAGUAAAGGCAGCACAGCUAACAAACCAAUAAGAAAAGCGAUGAUGCCUGGGAUAAAGCAUAAAAAGCCUCCGAGACUAAAACAACUAGCUGGUAUGUGCAACAAUGGUAAGCACUAAGCAGUGCUUCCUCACAUCCACAAAAGACACAACACAAAGAGAGGCUAUUCUCAGUGCAACUGGAACAAGCAAGCAUUUCAUGGAAAAUUUUACCAAUUGAGAAUCCAAGCAACAGUUUAGCUUGAAAGAAUUGAAGUUUUCAAUAUAACCAACUCACCAACAGUUGCAAUGUUGUUAUUACACAUGUUUGUCGCAGAAGAACCAGUAAUUUCAGUCACCUGAACAUCCAUGCUAUCCUUGGAUCUAGAGCGUGCAGUACCCAAACCAAUCAUGUUGAGGAGGAAAUUAGAUGUAAUCGUUUGCUGCCUAGGAAUCGCAGUAAUCCUCUGUUUGAAACAGAGUAUAUUACAAAACAAGAUAAGGUCUCAUUUUCAUUAAUGAAUGAAAUUGCUCCUAGACUUGCUCUGAUUGAGGUAUGGUACAACCAUAAUCUGCCGUAGGGGUUAAUUUCACUGAAAAAACUUAGAAAACUUGGCAACAUGACUUGGGAGUCCAACUUCCUUUCGUCCAUGACAACAAGCAUCAUCACUACUUACAAGCACCCUGGCUGCCCAUCUGUUGACAAAAAGGAAAAAAGGCCACUUAAAGUUCAAAAUCAUUUCUAGUUGAUAACUACUAAAAUAUAAUUGAAAAGAACAUGCUACAAAAGCAGAAAGGGAACUUGCUGUUUUAGGUUCAAUGGGUAGGAAACUGUGUGCUCCAAGUCAUACUGAAAAACGAUCCAUGGUUUGUUUGAUGCCUAAGUCACCAACUUGAGACCAUAGCAACUUCGCAAGUUGCUGAGGCCACUUGCAGAUAAAUAUUUCAAAAGAUGAUUAAUUUGAUAAGAAAAUUCUUUGAACAAAACAAAAGACAUGCAAGCUACCAAGUUCGACUGACCCAAUAUAUGUGUAAAGUUGAAACAAGAACAAGAUGGCCCUCGUCGAACUGAGACAAUAAACCCAGAUCAAGAGGAAGGCUAUGGGCCCGGCAGUGGUACUUGAAGCAGGAAAAAGAAGGGUGCUUUCGCUUGUAAAAUAAUUAUUUAUUAUUCAUCAUUAAAAACAAGAAGAGAUAGGAGGGUAAACAUAC
rnacentral:misc_RNA from 1 species